rnacentral:rRNA from 1 species
UACGUAGGUCCCGAGCGUUGUCCGGAUUUAUUGGGCGUAAAGCGAGCGCAGGUGGUUUAAUAAGUCUGAUGUAAAAGGCAGUGGCUCAACCAUUGUGUGCAUUGGAAACUGUUAGACUUGAGUGCAGUAGAGGAGAGUGGAAUUUCCUGUGUAGCGGUGAAAUGCGUAGAUAUAUGGAGGAACACCGGUGGCGAAAGCGGCUCUCUGGACUGUAACUGACACUGAGGCUCGAAAGCGUGGGUAGCAAACAGG